UACAAGGGUUUUUUUUUGCAUUUAGUCUCCUGACAAAUUUUUAUUUUAAAAUUAGUCCUGUCAAAAUUUAAUUUACAAAAAUAGCCAUAGGCCUGCCACGCAGGCGUCAUGUCAGCACCACGCGGGCAUGGCCGGGGCCUGUGUGUUAAGUUGAAUAUGGUGAACCAUUCACCGUGUUCAAAUACGGUGAAUGGUUCACCGUGUUUAGUACGUAUUUUUUGUAUAUUGAAAAAAGGAAUAGAGAGUAGGGAUGUCAAUAGGUAUGGAUAUCCGAAAUAUUAUCCGAAUUCAAACCCGAAUAAAGUAUAUAUAUAUAUAUAUAUACAUAAUUUAUUUUUAUUUAUUUAUACAAUAUAUAAAAUAUUUAAUAAUUUUUAUUUUUUAGAUCUUUAUCCAACGGUAUAGAUUUUUAAAACCCGCUGGGUUUAGGUUCGGGUUUCGAGUUUUUGGUUGGAUAUGGAUAUGGAUAUGAAUUUUUAAAAUCCGUCGGGUUCGGAUCCGAGUUUGAAUUUUAAUUUGAUUUUCGGGUUCAGGUUCGUAUUUUGAAAAAGAGAAGAAAAGAAAUACAAAUUCCCUAUUUCUCUUUUCAAUAUACAAAAAAUACGUACCAAACACGGUGAACCAUUCACCAUGUUUAGACACGGCGUGGCAGGCCUAGGGCCAUUUUUGCAAAUUAAAUUUUGAUAGGGCUAUUUUUAAAAUAAAAAUUUGCCAGGUGGCUAAAUGCAAAAAAAGCCCUUGAUACAAGAUUCACACUUUCCUGUGUAAUGUAUAGGCUGUCGGAUCGUUAGCGCUAAUCAUUAAUUCCAAAAGUUCGAGCUGUUAGAAAUACGCAACCAAUUAAUUUAAAACGUACAGAAACAGCGCCUACGGGUCUUAAUUGUGACUCGACCCACCCGGCCUCACGCCACUUCAACAUGACUCGGCCAACCCAACCUUACGUCAUUUCGAACGUGACUCGGCCCAACCCGACCUCCUGCCACAGGACAGGAUGCUGGUCCAUUUAAUCCAACACAGGCACCAGCAUAACAAUAUAAUUAUGUUAAUUGAGUAUUUAGGGGCCUGUUAAAGAUGAAUGUUUUUGAUAUGCAGAAGUUUCAUUCUAAUUUUGAUUUUCGAGUGGAACAAA
rnacentral:lncRNA from 1 species